GAUGAACGCUGGCGGCGUGCUUAACACAUGCAAGUCGAACGAUGAACCGGGUGCUUGCACUCGGGGAUUAGUGGCGAACGGGUGAGUAACACGUGAGCAACCUGCCCCUGACUCUGGGAUAAGCGCUGGAAACGGCGUCUAAUACUGGAUAUGUCCCGUCACCGCAUGGUGUGCGGGUGGAAAGAUUUUUCGGUUGGGGAUGGGCUCGCGGCCUAUCAGCUUGUUGGUGAGGUAAUGGCUCACCAAGGCGUCGACGGGUAGCCGGCCGUAGGGGGUGACCGGCCACACUGGGACUGAGACACGGCCCAGCCUCCUACGGGAGGCAGCAGUGGGGAAUAUUGCACAAUGGGCGGAAGCCUGAGGCAGCAACGCCGCGUGAGGGAUGACGGCCUUCGGGUUGUAAACCUCUUUUAGCAGGGAAGAAGCGAGAGUGACGGUACCUGCAGAAAAGCACCGGCUAACUACGUGCCAGCCGCCGCAGUAA
rnacentral:rRNA from 1 species